GAAGUUGCGGGAGAUGGCAUACCUCCUCAAACCGCCGGUUUUCGCCCGGCUGAUGAUGCCUACGGUUCC
rnacentral:ncRNA from 1 species